rnacentral:rRNA from 1 species
UGUCGUCAGCUCGUGUCGUGAGAUGUUGGGUUAAGGUCCCAUAACGAGCGCAACCCCUACCUCGCUAGUUGCCAGCGGGUCAUGCCGGGGACGUCUAGCGGAACUGCCAGCGUAAGCUGCGAGGAAGGUGGGGAUGACGUCAAAUCAGCACGGCCCUUACGUCCAGGGCUACACACGUGUUACAAUGGCCAGUACAGAGGGCAGCCACCCCGCGAGGGGGCGCUAAUCCUAAAAGACUGGUCCCAGUUCGGAUCGGAGUCUGCAACCCGACUCCAUGAAGUUGGAAUCGCUAGUAAUCGUGGAUCAGCAUGCCACGGUGAAUACGUUCCCGGGCCUU